rnacentral:tRNA from 1 species
GGUAUAGCUCAGUGGUAGAGCGCAUGCUUAGCAUGUAUGAGGUCCUGGGUUCAACCCCCUGGACCU